rnacentral:rRNA from 1 species
UACGGAGGGGGCUAGCGUUGUUCGGAAUUACUGGGCGUAAAGCGCACGUAGGCGGCUUUGUAAGUUAGAGGUGAAAGCCCAGGGCUUAACCCUGGAAUUGCCUUUAAGACUGCAUCGCUAGAAUCGUGGAGAGGUAAGUGGAAUUCCGAGUGUAGAGGUGAAAUUCGUAGAUAUUCGCAAGAACACCAGUGGCGAAGGCGGCUCACUGGCCCGGUACUGACGCUGAGGUGCGAAAGCGUGGGGAGCAAACAGG